CUGCUACAACAAUCUUCUCCGAGCUAGGCACGCCUCUCACCACCUCAUCCAAAGCCUCCCAAAACUGCACCUUCUCCUCCCCAUCCAAUCCCACUUGCGGGGCAUAAGCACUACACACGUUCAGGGUAAACCCCCCAAUAACCAACUUAAUAGUCAUCAACCUAUCGCUGAUCCUCUUUACCUCUACUACCUGACCUCUAAACUCUUCAUCUACUAAAAUACCAACUCCAUU
rnacentral:lncRNA from 1 species